rnacentral:tRNA from 1 species
GGGGAUUUGGCUCAGUGGUAGAGCGCUUGCCUAGGAAGCACAAGGUCCUGGGUUCAGUACCCAGCCCCG